ensembl:lncRNA
AGACAGGAGGGUCGCCCGCAGGGCUGCAGACAGACUGGGGUUCACACUGGCAAUGGCGCUGGCAGCCACAUCGGGAGGCAGGAGGGUCCCGAUGCCCAGCUGAAGGGUAAUGAUAGCCUAGGUGGUGAUGUCGGCCAUUAGAGGGGCCUCUUCUGCUGGCAAGUGUGUGACAGUAGAAAGAAGGACAGGCCUAUGUGGAACACAGCAGGGGCUCUUCUGUGGCUGGAUGUGGGACCCUGAGUAGGAAUGUGGGGAAUGGACAGGACUAACUUUCCUGGUUGGCAGUAUGCAAAGAAAGGAGUGGAAUAUUGCUAAAACUGGAGCUGACUGAAUUCUGAAGUGCCAGCUCAUCAAGUCCAAAGCACAACCUUCUCUCCUAGUACCUGUCUCUUGGCAAGGUGCUGACGUCUGCAGGGAGAAAGACAGAGCGUGGCCCCAGGUGUAUGUGGUCCCCAGAGUUCGUGAACACUGACAUGGCCCCACCGCAUCCAUGCUAGAAAUAUGACUUCUGCUGGCUUUGAAAUGCACUUCUGUUCUGAUUAUGUCCUCCACUUGGCUCGUCAUUUCUUUGUUUAAUACAUUUGAAUGAUGCUCAUUCUUUGGAAAAUAAGAAAUGUUUCUGGGAGAGGUAGAGAAGAAAGAGGAAGCGCCUGUGGGCAUCUGGAGUCUGAUUAGGCUCCUUGGAGACCCAGCUAUAUUUGCAAGGGAGCAGCAGCGGCCCAGGCCCCAAAGGCACAGAGAGCUCAAGGCGGAGGAGUUCGCUGGACUCUGUCAAGCUGAGAGCUUCAACCGGGGAGUUCUGAAGAUUUGAACAAGACGUGAAGAAUGUUUUAUAGCCUGUGCUUUAGAAGCGCCUAUGCUGUGAUUUUCCACGACACCAGACAGGCGCCCAGUGGUUAUUUUUCCAAGAGGGCAAAUGGACCGUUUCCCUUAAUUAGGCCGGAAAAUGUUGCUUGAUAAGACACCAUAAUUCUUGUGCUCACACAGAGGUGAUAAGCGUAGAUCUAGUGAGGACUGCCUCUUCAGGUGGGCUUCUCUGAGAUAACAGAGGAAUUUUCCUGCUGUAGCUUCCUGGCACCAGGGACAUUAAUGAGUCACAGGGUGUCUAGGACCCACAGGUACGGGUGAUUCCAGGUGACCUCCGCGCAGUGAUCCCAGUUUGGUGAGGGGACUGGCAGGUCACGGGACAGCUGAGCGCCCAAAGUGGAGGAGGCGGCCCCAGCAGUGGCCAGAAACAAGUCCCCUGAGUUGAAAUGGCAGGACUUGGGCUUGAGGUGAGAUGGAGGUCAGGAACUAAUUGCAGGGUCUCUUCACCAUCCCUGGCCUUGUCAUUGCCAGCCCUUCCCGAUAGCACCCCCUUUCCUCCUCCUCCUUGACAUCCCUGAAAACUUUCACUGGGAGCAAUUGAAAAAGCUUACGGUGGAUGCUGAAUAUGAGGGCGUCUGCAGCUGCGUCAGGAUGUGGUCUGAAGGAGGAGCAUUUGGGAGGAGAGGGAGAGGCCGUGGAGUGGAGAUUCAAAAUAGCCUCCCCUUCCCCUUACCCCCAACACACAGUAGGACCUGGCUGGCUUGC